AUCAUCAAGCCCAGUCACAGAACCUAAAGUGAAAGGGACAAAUCCUUCCUCUUCUUCACAAUCUUGGGCAUGCCUCUUAUGAACUGCUGCUUAUAACCAGGAUCUAGGGCAAGUCAACUGAUGACCCUCAUAUUUCUCACCUGAAGACCUGCCUCAGUGUUGCAGCAGAUUGAAAGAAUCCCUAUCAAGGAGGUCGUACUGUCAGGUUCCCUAUUCCACCCAGGGUUCUGUCAAGUCUAGUUUCCAAUGUCUUUCUACCUGGAUGACCUGUAGGAGUCAAGCUCCAACAGAAUGAAAGUUCUUCCUCUCACCUUGCCUCUUGUUUUGGUACUUUUUCUGAGUCCCACUUCUCUGGCUCACCUCUAAUUUUGGCUGCAGAUGCUUUGGACACUUCUAAAAGAGAUUGAACUUAUGCUGACAGCGUCAGGCCACAACAAAGUGCUUGUCUUGCCACAAAGCAAGGUCUUCCGUGGUGUUCCAACAGUCUGGAGGGACAGAAGUUUUGAUAUUCUCCAGAACACUGGUCUACCAUCUUGGUGACAUGCUAACUGGACCAGGAGUAAUAAGUUUUCUGAGGCUCCAAGACAUGCAUGCCAGAAGGUAGGUGAUAAGCACUAUAAAGACAUAGGAGAUUUCCACAUAAGUCUGCAGGGGUAGAAUAGUCUGGGGGCAUGCCACAAGAUCCUUUCUAAGGUAAAAGUAUUCUAUUUUGACCACCUACUACUAAGAAAG